rnacentral:lncRNA from 1 species
AACAAGUCUAUGAACAAGGGGUACAACCCGAACUAACACAAGAAAUAUCUAAAUAGUCUAAGUCCGAAGGAAAUGGACUGAACAAUAGGAAGGACUCUAUGGUAGCCUGAAAGAACUAGCUCACCCUUGAAAUUCGGUCUCGAUCACUGAUCUCGUAGCUGAGGUCUAUCAAUAGCCGUCUGAAUAUGCCCUGUACUUAACAAAGAACGAGCAAGUGCAGUAUUAGUACACAAUCACAGUGUACUGUAAGAUCACGC